CAGGUGAGACAAAAGGUUAUAGAAAGAGGCCAUGCUGACGAGGGGCAUGGAGUUUCCCAGAAGAGGAAUGUAUACCAGAGACUAAAGACAGAUAUUGGAAGUGGGAGUGCAGGUCAAGCAGGUGGCACAGUAGGAAGUAGAGCAAGUCUGGUUGAUGGAAGGAGAAGGGUCUUGCCUGGUGACUUGCAGCCAGCCUGCUUCAGGACUGUUUCCUUGUCUCAGAACUGUCCAGUGAGUUCCAGAACACGGCACUUACCUCCUGUGCCUCUUCUACAUCCUGGGAUGUUAUCCAUGGUAAAGAUAACAUUCCUUACAGAGGCCUUCUCUCCAAGCAUUUUCUUUGUAGGCAUCCGUUUGCUGGUUUUGUUGCUUCAUGGGCAAUUGGUGCUCUACCUUGUCAAGGCUCAGAGAAAGGAAGGACCAAUUUUAUCAGUUGAAGUAAAUGUAACUUUCCCGCUUGCAGCACAUUUUGCAGAAGAACAUGAUAUCUCCUGAAAA
rnacentral:lncRNA from 1 species